rnacentral:rRNA from 1 species
GACGAACGCUGGCGGCGUGCUUAACACAUGCAAGUCGAACGGUGAAGGGACCGGUUUUUGCUGGUUCUGGAUGAGUGGCGAACGGGUGAGUAACACGUGAGUAACCUGCCCCCUUCUUCUGGAUAACCGCAUGAAAGUGUGGCUAAUACGGGAUAUUCUGCGCCUGCUGCAUGGUGGGUGUGGGAAAGAUAUUGUUUCGGUGGGGGAUGGGCUCGCGGCCUAUCAGCUUGUUGGUGGGGUGAUGGCCUACCAAGGCGGUGACGGGUAGCCGGCCUGAGAGGGUGGACGGUCACACUGGGACUGAGACACGGCCCAGACUCCUACGGGAGACAGCAGUGGGGAAUAUUGCACAAUGGGCGCAAGCCUGAUGCAGCGACGCCGCGUGAGGGAGGGAGGCCUUCGGGUUGUAAACCUCUUUCGCCAGUGAAGCAGGCCUGUCCCUUUUGUGGGUGGGUUGACGGUAGCUGGAUAAGAAGCGCCGGCUAACUACGUG